CCUGGAGAAUGCCCUCAUUGAUGGCGAUCUUCCCUGGAGGAGGAUGGGACAUCCUCUCCUCAGGCCCCGGGAGCGUGGCGUUGCAGGCCUCGGGAAGGUGGUACCGAGCCACAAGUCUGUCUAAGUCUGUGGCGACCAGCUCCGACUUAAUUUGGUCUGCUCUCACUUCGCCCAUUCCUAAUGGCCAAUGAACCUACGGUCAGGACGGGGACAGGAAGGGGGGAAAGACCGGAGCGACUGGAGUACACUAGUAUAAGAGGGGAAAGUAUGGAGAGCCCUAAGCAGAAGAAUGGGGAAAACUCACCGGAAAAGAGGUAAGAAUGGCUCCGAGAGCGCCAAAGGAGAAACGAGCGAACAGUCCGACGGCAGCAACAGCAGCGCAAAGGGGAAGCUUGAAAAUAUCUGUAAAGAAGAAGACGGACGGGGAAAGGCCCCCGAUUAAAUAGGCGGAAAGGCAAGUGACGCCUCAAUGACGCCAGAGGACGCCUGGGCGCCGAAAUCCUCAGACUGCCAGGUCAGCAAUAACCGCCAUACGCCAUAAAAAGGGCGGGGAGCUCGAAGCGCGCGCGCCUCUCCGAGGAACGGCGACAAUCCCGAAACAUCACUCCCUUCACCUGUUCCCCUUCUGGUUCCAGGCUCGGAAGUGGGGGGCUACUGUUACGGGGGAAAUAAGCCGCCAUGCCCCACGUGACCGGCACGCGCGCCCAGGAAGACUACGGCUGCCCUUUGAUCCAGCGCUCCGACCCCAAGUCAGACGUCCUCGGCUCCGCAGCCCGACCCCGAGUCGGCUGCCCUUUGAUCCCGCAAUCCGACCCCGAGUCGGACGUCCUCGGCUCCGCAGCCCGACCCCGAGUCGGCAGCCCUUUGAUCCAGCAAUCCGACCCCGAGUC
rnacentral:lncRNA from 1 species